UGUUUGCCAGUUUUUGUUGAUUUAGAUUAUUUGUAUGAGAAUACAUUCCAGUUAUCAGAGUAAAUUGAUACAAAAGGGAAAAAUAGUACAAAACAAAAGCUUACAAUGGCCCAUGCACAAUUUUUGGAUGAAAUGAUAAGGGAAUAUUUAUUGUAUAAAGGAUUUGGAUCGACAUUAAAAGCAUUUGAUGCAGAACUGAAAGCUGAUAAAAUGAAAAGUUUUAGAGUUGACAAAAUAGUUGAUCAACUAAUAUAUUUUAUAAACAAUUAUGAUCUUAUUUCACUUAGGGAUUUGUGGGGUCAUUUGAAUAGACAUUUGUUUUCUAAAUUGGAGAGUCAUUAUUUACCUAGUGUACGUAAGCUGGAAAAUGCGGUGUUGAAAAUGUACUUGAUAAAUACAGUAUUUAAUAGUAAACCCGAUAAAAUGAAUGAAUUUUUUGUCAAAAUGACUCCAGAACUACAAAACCAAGCAGAAUGGAAAGAUUGGUUUGUAUUACCAUAUAUAAAAAAUCCAGAAGAAAAUCCAACAUUUUCUUUACAUUUUACAAAACAAUGGCAAGAUACUCUUUGGGUUUCAGUUCAUAAUUUCUUGGCCACAAUAAUACAGUUCAUGCCAAUCCCCACGUUAAUGCAUUUUGAAGAUGAUGCUACUAGAAUAAGUAAAUUGGAAGAAAGAAACGAAUCUCUUAAAAAACGACUGAUAUUAUUACUUGAUAGAGGACCUCAAUCUAGUGUCACUCCAUGUCAAGUAGAGCCCCCUCAACACUUGUUAGACGACUUCUAUGUUAUAGCACAAGAAAAUAAUUUAGGUGAAAGUCAAGCUAGAAGCUUAAGAAGUAUUAUAAAGAAUAUGAGUAGCAGUGCAAGUCCAAUUUUAGGUAGAAAAGAAAGCGCAUUGGGAAAGAGACGAGAAAGGAAAUAAAAUUGUUUAACUUACCUUAUGAUUUUCCAGACAUGAUUAGUUCCAAAAAAAUUUUAUCCAUAUUUAUUUACCUUAGAUAUUAGAACUGUAAAGUCCGCAUUUUUCACACUUGAUUCAGGUGAAACCUCUGCACUUAGGAUAUUUGCAACUCAUUGGUGGACAGGCCAUAUGCCUGUUAUAUUCAGUUGUAGAUAUGGGAUUUCCCAGGAGAAUGUAUAAUAGAGCGGACCAUUUCACCAAUAUGGAUAAUUUUACCCUUUUUAUAAGGUUCAGACCUUAAAAGCCAACAUUUCGGAACAGAAUGAGGAUAGUCUUUUAUCGAUUUAACUUCUUCCUGAAGCCAUAGAUUAACUUUCUUAUUAUAUUUUAAUAUAUGUUGCUCUCGCUGUAAUAUCCUAUGUUCCUUGGUAUAGCUCAAAUUGACGUUGGUAAGGAAAUGACUUGUGAAUAAUGGGAUUUUAAAAAUUUUCAUUAUUUUUGAGGUCUAUUGUUCUUUGAUCAAAGUUCCCUUUUUUUUUAGGAUUGAUAAAGAAUAGAAAAGAAAGAUACCAUUAACUCAAUGAAAAGCGUUAAUAGUUAUUUUAAAUUAAUCACAGCAAUCCGAGUGAAAAAUGUUGUCAAAUAAAUUAUCUGUCAAAAUUGGGCAAAGAAUACGUACCAUUAAGCUCAAUAAUAAUCUUUGUUACCUAGUUUCUUUAAUAGCUUUGAAUGAAAAGUAGUCAAAUAAUGACAUUCAAAGCUACGAUAUUAGGCAAAGAAUAGAAAAGGAACAUACCAUUAAAUUCCAUAAAUAACUGAUAUUCUAUUUCAUUCACAGCUUCCGAAAUGACAGAAAUCAUCGUAGAAGUUAACUGAUGAAGUUGGACAAGGAGUAGAAACAUACUAUCAACUAAAUAAAAAGUGUUUAUAGCUAAUUGAAAUAAAUCACAACUUUCGAAAUGAAAAAUUUCGUCAAAUGAAUUAUCUGUCCAAUUUGGGCAACGCUUAGAAAAGAAGGUACCAUUAACUUCUAUAAUAAUCUUUGGCACCUAGUUUCUUUGAUAGCUUCGAAUGAAAAGUAGUCAAUUAAUGACAUUCAAAGCUAUGAAAGUUACGCAAAGAAUAAAAAAGAAACAUACCAUUAAACUUCAUAAAAAACUGUGAUAUUCUAUUUCCUUCACAGCUUCCGAAAAGACAAGUAGUCCUAUAAAUUUACUGUCAAAGUUUGACAAAGAAAAUAGUUCAAUUAAUGUUAUUUGAAUCGUAAAAGAUAAAAGUUAGAAAAACAUGCAAUAAGUCCCAUUUUUUUGAAUCUUCAUAACAAUGAAAAGAAAAUUAAGAAAUGAAACUUCUUAAGAGAUGAUAUUUUUUGAAAUGGUAUGUUAAGAGCAAUAAUACGUUCCGGGUUAAUGAACUUUUCUCUAAACAUGUAUCAUUGAAAUAAAUAAAAUUCUGGAUACUUCGACAGUUUUUGUCAAAGUUGAGCAUAUUGAACACAUUUACUACCACCACUAUUCAGAGUCUGAAGAGGAUAAUUUGGUAAUCCAAACGCUCGACAUUGUUUUUGGGAAUGUUAACGGGAAAUUUAAUUUUCGUUGCGCAUACGAAUCGAAAAAUGAGUUUUUAACAAAAUAUUUUAAAAACAAUUUUAUUUUUGAAAUAAACUAAAUAAUGGAAAAACAAUAAUAUUUGUCAAUCAAAUUGAUAAACUGAAUCCUAAAUCUACCAUACAAAAAAAAAA